GCCCGAAAGGGUAGACCUCCCACCCUUGUGUAUUAUUACUUUGUUGCUUUGGCGAGCUGCCUUCGGGCCUUGUAUGCUCGCCAGAGAAUACCAAAACUCUUUUUAUUAAUGUCGUCUGAGUACUAUAUAAUAGUUAAAACUUUCAACAACGGAUCUCUUGGUUCUGGCAUCGAUGAAGAACGCAGCGAAAUGCGAUAAGUAAUGUGAAUUGCAGAAUUCAGUGAAUCAUCGAAUCUUUGAACGCACAUUGCGCCCCUUGGUAUUCCGGGGGGCAUGCCUGUUCGAGCGUCAUUUCAACCCUCAAGCUUAGCUUGGUAUUGAGUCUAUGUCAGUAAUGGCAGGCUCUAAAAUCAGUGGCGGCGCCGCUGGGUCCUGAACGUAGUAAUAUCUCUCGUUACAGGUUCUCGGUGUGCUUCUGCCAAAACCCAAAUUUUUCUAUGGUUGACCUCGGAUCAGGUAGGGAUACCCGCUGAACUUAAGCAUAUCAAUAAGCGGAGGAA
rnacentral:rRNA from 1 species